rnacentral:rRNA from 1 species
AUGGAGUCGCAGACCAUCCGCCACAUGAUCGAGGAUGACUGCGCCAACAAAGGCAUCCCGAUCCCCAACAUCAACUCCAAGGCCCUCUCCAAGGUCAUCGAGUACUGCAACAAACAUGUCAUGGCCAAGACAGUCGAUGUCUCUAGUGGAUCCACAGGUGUUGCUGCAUCCGACACCAUGGCUCCCGCCGCCCUAGCCGGGGACCUCAAGAUCUGGGACGCAGAAUUCAUCAACGUCGACCCUGACACCCACUUUGACCUCAUCAAGGCAGCAAGUUACCUCAACAUCAAGGGGUUGUUGGACCUGACUUGCCAGACUACUGCAGACAUGAUUAGCGGAAAACCUCCGGAGGAGAUUCGUAAUUUCUUCAAGAUCCAGAACGACUACUUGCCAGAGGAGGAGGAGAAGAUCCGCAGGGAGAACCAGUGGGCAUUUCAGUAG